GAUGAACGCUGGCGGCGUGCCUAAUACAUGCAAGUCGAGCGAACAGACGAGGAGCUUGCUCCUCUGACGUUAGCGGCGGACGGGUGAGUAACACGUGGAUAACCUACCUAUAAGACUGGGAUAACUUCGGGAAACCGGAGCUAAUACCGGAUAAUAUAUUGAACCGCAUGGUUCAAUAGUGAAAGACGGUUUUGCUGUCACUUAUAGAUGGAUCCGCGCCGCAUUAGCUAGUUGGUAAGGUAACGGCUUACCAAGGCAACGAUGCGUAGCCGACCUGAGAGGGUGGUCGGCCACACUGGAACUUAGACACGGUCCAGACUCCUACGGGAGGCAGCAGUAGGGAAUCUUCCGCAAUGGGCGAAAGCCUGACGGAGCAACGCCGCGUGAGUGAUGAAGGUCUUCGGAUCGUAAAACUCUGUUAUUAGGGAAGAACAAAUGUGUAAGUAACUAUGCACGUCUUGACGGUACCUAAUCAGAAAGCCACGGCUAACUACGUG
rnacentral:rRNA from 1 species